AUGCCCGGGGAUCUGAGCCAGUGGAUCAUGAAACACUAUGAUCCAGAAAAGUCUCAAAUCAUUAUACCAGAGAGAGGAAAGAUACCAGUGGACGCAGACAGUGUGCGGUGGAUAUGGGGUUUGCCCAAUCGAGGCGGGAAAGUAUGCUUUGAAAUGAAUCCAGAUGUUAUAAGGGAAUUCAACAGUAUUUUCAAGAUCGAGGGUAAAAAUGCACCUACAUUGACUUCAUGGUGCAAAAGGAUUGAAAAUAUGAAUGGGGCACAUGAUGACGAUUUCCUCCGUGCUUGGUUGGCUGUUGCAUUCUCAUGCUUCCUUGCUCCAACAACAAGCUUGAGCAUCUCACCAAGGUGCUAUACUGCCAUCAUGCACACAAGUGCUAUAAAGGACACCAACAUAUGCGACUUUGUUGUUGACCAACUAAGGUUGGCAUUCAUGGGAUUUGGUGAGAAGAAGAAAGCAGUUUGUUGCUGCAUCUUCCACCUAGUUGUAAGUACACAAUUUUUUUUUCUGAAGAAACUCAUGCUUUACCCUGUUAUCUUUCCCUGA
rnacentral:rRNA from 1 species